GUAAAGUUAACGGUACAUAUUACCUGGAAGAUCGAGACUUGUAUACUGAACGGCAGGUGCUCAUUUCAGAUAAGAAAAUGUCGACUUUCGUCUGAUAUUGUGAAGUUUCUCAGUUUAUUAUGUGAUAUUUCAAAGUAACCCUUAGAUUUUGCUAGUAAUAUACAAUCAUGAAUGACCACAAGAAAGUGUAUUUAACUUUAAUAUUUUUAUUGACACUAGCCAGCGUGAUUUUAAUGGUUGUGGGCUUUGCGACUGAACAUUGGAUUAUUUCACACCCAGUGAAAAACCGCACAGCAAAUGUGUCGGGCGAAACCACAACAAAAUUCACGGGAGUUAUUACAUUAGGGUUAUUUAAAGGGCAUAGAUCAUUAGAUUAUGGUUUUGGGCUCAGAUCCAGAGAUUUGUGGGUUGUGUGUGAUGCUGGAUUUGGUUCCUGUAUCUUUUGUAACGAAUCAUCCACAAAAACUCAAAAUAAAAUAUUGGAUACAGCAAUUGCAAGAUAUAAAAACUCUUCAUCAGUGAAAGAAUUGAAUGAUCUAGGAUUGUUUAAUUUUGGAUUAUGGGUGUCAACGAUUGUGAUGUUGUCUCUAGGAAUAGUUUGGGGUAUGGUGGCUAUUGGAUUUACUGUAUAUAAUGUAUUUGGUAAACCAAUAGAAACAGUGACAGGAGAAAUGGGACUAUAUCUCUGGAAUGGACUGGCAUUAAACUUCAGUUUGUUGGCUGUGCUACUAUAUGUUGGUUUGUUUGUCAACAAUUUACAAGUCAACCUUUUACCAGAAGAAGACAUUCUUGCUGGUUUCUCAUCCAAAGAUAAAACACAGUUUGACCAAUCAUUUUAUUGCGUGGUGGGCGCUGUCGGAGGGUUUUUCAUCAAUAUUAUUUUAUUAUGUGUGUCUGGGCAGAAAUGUUGGUGUAGUUAUUCACAUGCUGGAGAAAAAGAGAUAGACAAUGGAAUGAUUCUCUAUUAAUGGAUCUCCACAUAGUCUUUAUUUCUUUCCCACGAAUAAUCCAAUUGGAAUCUUUAUUGUUUUCCCAAGAUAAAUCCAAUUGGCAACGCUAAUCAGAUCUAGCUCCUUUAAUUCUGUUGCAAAAACAAAAAGCUAACGGUAGACAUUGACAAACUGUUUGCUGAAAAUUUUGUAAGAAUUAUAUGAAAUGAAAAUAUAAAUAUUUUUAAAUCAUUGAUAAGAUUAUGAUUCCUUCUUCCAAAUAAUAAAAAUAUCUGACCUCUAUUUAAUUUGAUUUCAACAUUUAAAUUGUAAUUGACUUUACUGAUGUCAGAUUAUUUUAACUAAAUUUUAAAAACCUACCCCAAAAUGCAUACCAAUGAACAAAUGAGUUACUAAAUAUAUGACAUCAAGUACUUUGUGACAUCAUUAUUUUCCAGAAAACUUUUCAUUAAUGAUCAAAUAUUUCGAAUUUUCAAAUAUUGCAAACAGUGUAGACUUCUAUUCGAUUUUAAUUUUAGAUAAUGGGUAGCCCUCAUGGGUCAUACAAAGGAUAUAUUUGAAAAAAUUAGUUUAUCCUAUUAUGAAAAUAAAAACAAAAUUCAACUGAAAUUUUUCCAAACUAUAUGGUACAACUUUGAUAUAAAAUCCAGUCGAUAUCACAUUUCUUUCUACAAACUGAUCUAUAUUUAGUAACUCAUAGAAAUCCUUGACUAACUUACAUUUUAUUUAGAAAUACUAACCCCGACUGGCAGUAAAUAUAAAAGACAUGUAGUUCUAAAAGGCAUGAAAGAGAAAAAAAUAUUCUGCCCCCAUGCAUGUAAAUUAUGACCUCUGACCAAAACCACUUGCAGUUUUCUGUUACAGUAAAUGAACAAGUACAUAUAAAUUAUGUUAAUUUGUUAUGUUUAUGUAUGUAAAUAUAUAUAUACACUGUAUGAUUAUGUUCUUGAAAGGACACACCCUCUUUGACUUGGAUGUAAAAUGAAAGUUUUGAUUUAGUUGAUCUAAUAAUGACUAGAGAAUCCUAGUCAAAACAUUGCUCAGUAAUAAGCAGUAAUUGUAUUCCAUAGAAUUUUGACUUGUGUAUUGAUUUAAUCUACAUUUUAAAUUUUAUGUCUCUGAUUGUGUUAAUGAUGAGCUUUAACCAAGAUUCAAAAUGGCAAAAAAAGAAACUUUUAACAAACAGAUCAAUCUUCAGUUACUAUACUGAAAUGAAAAUUUAAUGGUAUAGAUGCCUGAUCACUAAUGGAAGUAACACAUCAGAUCGAAUCUGCAAGUUAUUUUCACCUAAAUCAAAGAGGUUUUGUUCCUUUGUCAUUGGUUGUCUGUUUUUUUAUAUGCCCACAUUUUCAUGUGGACAUAUAUUGUCGUCGCCCCUGUGGACACUCUACAGGUCAAAAUUGUAUAUCUCCCAAAGAUCUUGGUCUCUUUGUAAAUUGGCAUGUAUCGGUCCGUAACUUCAUGGAUUAUGGCCCCUGACUGUAUGGGAAAUCAUGUUUUUAGCUUGUGGACGCUCUAGGGGUCACAAUUUUCAUACGUUUUUGAUGAAACUUGAAAUGUAUGUUUAUAACCCAAAGAUCUUGGUCACAAUUUUAUCCGAUUUAAAAAAACCUUUACACAUACCACUGUUACACCCUAAUGAUGCCCAACAAAAUGGCUGCUACUUGUACGCAAAUAGAGUAAAAGGAUGUAAUACCAAGGUUGUGGACUUCUAUCACAAUUUUUAUCCGAUCUUGAUGAAACCUAAAAUAUAUGUUCAUAUCCAAAAGAUCUUGGUUCUUCCGGAUAUUCGUGCAAAUUGGACCAUAACUUCCUGGAUUAUGGCGCCUGAUUGUACAAAAAAUCACAUUUUUUUUAGCUUGUUCUCUGUACAUCUCUUGCAAAAUGUGGACAUAUCUUGCAUGACAACCGCUGGUACAAUAUAAUAUUGUAUAUUCCUUUUAACUUACAUAUACAUGUGUAUUUAAAUGUUGUUUUAUUAAUGGUCAAUGUGUGUAAUUAAAUUUGAAUUGGGGCUCUUAUCUUCAAAUCAGAAUGUCAUGUUUGAGUAUGGUAAGAGCAUUGAUUUGAAUCUUACCUUUGUUUGCUGAUUAAAAGUGAUGUCACAUUUAACAGAAGUUUUUUGAUCGCUACAAUGUUUUACAGCUGCACUUUUCUUUUAUAUUUAAACAAAUUAAUUUAUUAGGUACCAAAGUCGAUUGUUUAUAAGUAAAACAACUAUUUGUAAAUUGAUUUUGGAUUUAAUGUGCACUUCAUGUUAAAAACUUUAUACGCAAAGCCUUCAAAAUGAAAUUUCCGUCCCUAUUUGAAAUGCCUGAGGAAUUCUAAAUAUGCAAAAAAUAAGCCUUAAACCUUUUAUCGUGGAGAAAUAAAUAUUCUUAAUUGCCUUGUCAGUUUUAUACACCACCCACUCUUGUAGUUGUAGACUCAUAAAAUUGAAUCAAUUCUGUUCAAUCUUGAACUUUGAAACUUAGCAUGUAUGUAUGUGAGCUUUUAAUAUGAAUAAGCCUAUCAUAUGUAUAUAUAUAUAUAUGUGUAAGCUUAUUUUUGUGUGAAAAAUAAGCAGUGAAAACUAGGUUAUAAAGUAUUUGAAAUAUUUUUAAUUGUAACAAUUUUGAUAGCAAGCUUAAAGGACGUAUAGCUCUAGUUUUUGGAACCUUAAAAUAGACAUGUUUUUUUUUAUUCAUAACAAAGGACACUCAAAACAAUAGAGUACAAGAUGUUGUGCACUGAUUAUAAAAUGUUCAUCGUGUUUUAAAUAUAGGAUAUUAGGAUCCUAUAUUUUCACCAUGAGAUAACAACAUCAAUAUUGAUUGAAAUGGACCAAUAUUGAAUUCUAGUUUGUGUUUUUAAUUUCGAAUAUUCAAAUGAUAUUGAGUUAGAGGUUUAGCUCCUUUAAUUUAUGAAUAGAAACAUUAACUUAUUUGAUUUGUGAGACAGACACUUCCUAUUUAGAAUUCUGAAAGGUGUUAAUGUGAAAUAGUCAUGUCGCAACGUAUUUGUCUUAUAGGUUUUGUUUUAUGUGUAGUGCAGUCCUCCUGCACUUACUAAUGUAGGCUCAGAUUUGAAAGUAGUCUGUUGAUUGUAUUAUUAUCAAAAUCCUACUUGUAUUUUACAAUGCAGUAGGAUGACUCAACAUUCCUUAUAUAAAAUACAAUGAAUAAAAAAAAAUCACCAGUUUUAAGUACUUGUAAAAUAAGAAAUAAUGUUAAAAAGUUGAAUUUAUAAACAUUGUAGUCUAGCUGUCCAAACAAACAAAUUUCUGAAUACAUCACAGACAGACAAUCUAAAAUGUUAUGAUGGCAAAGCAACAUAUGUUUUGGUUAAAUAUAAUUGGUCAGAUUUUUCCAACCUUGUGUUUUAUCUACUCUUGGAAUAUGCUUUACAGUGUUGUUUAUUUGUCCUACAUUGUUUGUUGUUUUGUUUUUUUUACAUUGACUUAAAUAAAAAAGAAAAUUUCUAUCCAGAAUAUCAUGAAAUAAUUAUUUAAUUCCCAACAUUAUUUCUUAUUUUGAAACCAAGUUUUGACUGUUUUUAUUUAUUGUCUAUAAAUGUGUUGGUUAAUUGUUAACAUUAGCAUUAUAUGUUAACAUUUUACGCUUAAUAUUUACUAGCAUUAGGAUGAGUAACUUCCCUUGGAUUGUUUUCCAUAUUAAUCUAUGGAUAACAGUCACUAUACAAAUGUUUCAAAAAGAUUUCACUGGUUGUUAUCAAGCAUACAAUUUUUCCAUAGUACUGUGUUGUGUUAUAUUAUGUUAAUCACUAAAUGCCAUUCAGAGAUUCUUUUAUUAAUUGUUUAGAUUUUUAACUGGUACUAAUAUUUGUUGAAGAUUCAGUCAGCCCUAUUAUUUAACCUCAAUUGUGUUAAUAAAUUGUUUCUAGUAGGUUGACAAUCUGGGGUCCUGUAUAUUAAUUGUAUACGAAAAGGUUCCUUUCAAGUUUUGUCCUCAGACCUUAAAUGAUAUAGAUUUCUUCUUUUGAAGCAAUGCAAAUGAUUACCCAUUUAAUCUAAAGUUACUACUAUUAAAUUUUAUAGAUUUGCACUAUAGACAUAUCAGAUUAUUUAUCAAUCACUUUUGAUUUUUUUCCAUUUUCAUGGGGAAAGGAUUUUUUUAAGAAAAAUAUUUUAUAUAUACCGGUAUAUUAUUUACUUACAUGGUGUUGUGAUUUUAAAUUUAAAAACAACAUUCCUACAAAAUACCCAUAAAAGGUAUUAUUAAAUAAUUCUAUUUUUUCAAUAUUAUUUUUAAAAUAUAACUUUUAUAUCUUCUGACGUAUUCCCUUUUAAAACAUAUUUUCUCCUAUAUUAUUUUGAACAAUUCAUGCAUUCACAAUUCCAAUUAUUUAAAUUAUAAUGUCAGUUUGUAAUAUUUACUUGAAGACUUAUUUACUUACAUGGUGUUGUGAUUUUAAAUUUAAAAACAACAUUCCUACAAAAUACCCAUAAAAGGUAUUAUUAAAUAAUUCUAUUUUUUCAAUAUUAUUUUUAAAAUAUAACUUUUAUAUCUUCUGACGUAUUCCCUUUUAAAACAUAUUUUCUCCUAUAUUAUUUUGAACAAUUCAUGCAUUCACAAUUCCAAUUAUUUAAAUUGUAAUGUCAGUUUGUAAUAUUUACUUGAAGACUUAUAACAGGUAACAAUGUUACAUUAUGUGACUUCAUCACCAGUGUCUCAAACUUGCUGAAAUUUCUCACAGCCUGACAGACUGGUAACUUAUUGUGGCCCUGCCAAAAAACUUAUAUUCCGUACUAUCAAUCUGAUUAAAUGAAACACAAAAUUACACUUGAAAGCCAAUAAAUGAAUUAUUCAUUUACUGGUCCACCAAAUUGACAGUUUAAAAUUUUUCUGGCCAGGUGUGUCUUCAGGUCACCAUGCAUUUCACUAUUUUUAUCAUUUCAGACUGACUGUCAUUAAAUCGGGUGCUUGGCAAAUAUACUUUUUCCGACAUUUUACAUAUUAUAUUCUAUAAUAUCAGUGAGUGCCCUAGACAUUUGCAAAUUGUUAUUGCUUUAAAUAACAAAAUUUGCUUACACAUUCAAAGAAUAAAAAUAGUUAGGUUUUCUAACAGUAAAAUCUUGAACAAAUCCAAAUGAAAUGAUUUUUAGAUUAGCUGAGCUGAACAGAUGUUAUAAAAGUUAAAUUUAGAACCUUAAUUUAAAUAUAUUUAAUUCAUUUUAUCAUCAUACAUUUGUUUUUAAAAUUAUGUUUAUCAUCCCAAUAUACAAAUAAAAUCCUAAAUUUAUUUUAAAUAUGUUGAUUUAUUUUAAUUUAUUGUUAAUUGCCUAGUCCAUUAAUUGUUUGUAUUUUUAAAUUAAUUUAUGUUUUUAUUUUAAUUAAUGUUGUGCUAUUUGUGUUUGAUUAAAGAGGGGGUUAAGAGUUGAAUUACAAGUUAUGCCUAAUGUACUUCCAGUCAAAUGUUUGAAUUUACUUGUAUAGAGAUUUUGAAAAAAAAGAAAAGAAGUUGAUUUAUUUAGAACUAUUAUUUUGUACAAAAUCUAAAGAAGCUGACCAGAUUUACUUAUUACAGAAAUUAGGCAUAACUCUGUAAGUUGCAAAUAGUUCCCCAUGUAGUCCCCCACUCUACCGCCCAAUCCUUCACUUAAUUCUAGAAAUGAUUCCCAUAUUGUAUUCAAGUUCAUUUUGUUUUUAUAAAUAAAAUUUUCCUCUUUAAA